UGCAUGUGGUUUAAAUUUAAGGUAGCCAGCUAUUCUCUCUGCAAUUAAAUUUAAGGUAGCCAGCUAUUCUCUCUGCAACACAAGGUGGUUUGCCUUGCUACAAAGUCUCGUGAGAAUAAUAAUUCUCGUGGAUUCCUCAAUUAUUUCUGAAACAGAAUUGACGAUCUAACACUGUACGAAAAAAAUAACACUCAGAAGUUGGGACUUUUAAACCAGUCCUCCAAAAGAAUCGAUCCUUCAGCGGUGCAUCAGGUA
rnacentral:lncRNA from 1 species